CAAAUAUGUAUGCCAAUUGGUGCUUGUUUUUGUUGUCCCUUUUAGUGUGUAUCUCUGAUGAUCUUUCAAUCUCGGUGAUCAAUGUCUGUCACUUUGGUGGGGAGAUGAAUUGUGCUGUUCUGUUUGUUGUAUGUUCAGUUGAUGAUUCGCUUGACAUAUCCACAAGGUACAGUAUGUGUGAUCCAACCACACGUCGCAUAGUUGAAUUCCGAAGCAAUUAGCUUGAUUACCUGCAGUCCAUCUAAUUCUCAUCUAAUGCUGAUUAGUUUAAGCGAGUCAACACAUAGGACGGAAAGACCCUUUUAUAGUUUUCUCAAGGGGAGUGUACCGUGUGCGGGGGCAUAUCUCUGUUCCUUUGUAUGGUUGUUUAACAAUUUGUGAAAUGCUUGUAGUAUGAUAAUCUAGAUAGUGGGGAUAUGUUACAGAAAGUGUUGUGCCUGGCCUCACAUGUACAUGAGUUGGUUUAUCAUUAAGUGCUCUCUUUCCCACUAAAUUUCACAUCUGCCAUCUGAAAAAAACAAAUCCACAUUUACCUGAUUUCAAGUUCUUAUGGACCUUAUGGUAAAGUAUUUAAGUAAUUUUAGUCGGCUCAAAAGGCUCCAAGAUUCUUUGUCUAUCAUUUCCUGUUCAAAACUGACAACAGAACUUUGUGAAGCCUUUCAGUUUGUCUUUGUUUCAGUUACUUUACCAUUCGGUCUUGAUGCCUGAACUAUGUGAACAUUGUCAGCUUAGUAAAAUGGUAUGAACUUGUGUGCCAUACACAUAGCAGGUCGAAAAACUACCAUUGUAUUUGCAUAUACUGCUUGUGACACAAUCUUCUGAAAACAUGUUGGUGGUCAUUGGUCAACAAAUGUUUUCAGCAUUCGGCACGGUGUUAAUUAUCUUGAAUUUAUUGUGCUUCUAGAAUAAUAGAUUUCCGAAUAAUUAGAUGGUCAGCUAUGCAAUAUAAUAUUCCCAUAGUAUUGAAAUAUUCUGUUCUGCAAAUAGUCCUUCAGCAAAUGGCGCUUACACUUAAUAUGGGAUACUCCAAAUCCAUAAGAGCAGGCUAUAUCUGAUAUUUUCUCCAUACAGAGUCGGCAGCGACUUGAUUUAUAUUUUCCGCUACUUGUCAAUAUGAUGGCCCGUUGUAUAUAAAUGAGGCAUGGCCAUCACUUAUACUUGGGAACUACUUUUCAGUGAUAGCUGUAUUGACUAAGGGAACUACGACGGGCUUAUGCUUACUGAACUAUAUUCGAAACUAUCAGAGUGUAUAGCAGAUUAGAGCAGAUUACAACAGCCUUAAAGAUUGUUGGCCAUUAACGGUUAUCCAUGGCACUAAAACUACUUGAUCUCAAUACAUUCACCUCACAACACUUGUUGGCGAAAACAUGUGCUAUAGCACCAAAGAAGUUGAGGUCAAAUUAAUGAGGUCAUCGACUUGAAGAUUGAUAAAUAUGGUUCUGUUAUUAUGCAGGAGUUGUGUGAUCUGAGGAGAAACUAUUCUCUUGCAAAUCGGAUAAUUGUUGUAGGAAUCAAAAGGCACAUGAUUGUACUGUUGUUCUGGGAUUUCGUUUCUUACGUUCCUCGACCCUGAUGUCUACAUGAGAUGCCGCAACAAAGAAAAUGCUCUCAGCCUUGGACGAUCCAUUCACUUGAUUCUUGAAACCAUUACCUUUUCUGAAGCAAGACUAGCUAGCACCCAAGGUGCCGUGGCAGGUGUACGUUUAUCCAUUGGCUACCCGUUGGAGCAUCACUUGCGGUGCUCUUUGUAAUGUCACUUGGUGGGUUUUGCAGAAAUGACUUUCUAGAGACGUUUUAUCUUGAUAAUUGACAACAUAAGAGUGCAAAAUAUUUGACAGCAGAUCGCUUAUGGGGUCAUCAAGGAAACUCAAUAGAUGGCUAUUUCAGUGGAGAUUAUACCAGAGAUGUUGUUUUGAAAGUAUAUGCCAGGAGAGAAAGAUAUACUUGAAACCCGAUGAGGUCAAUGAUGUGGAGAUUUUACUAGAGAUGUUGUUUUCAAGUAAGAUUUUGUGUGAGAUUAUACCGAUCGCACCAGCACGCCACAUUGUUGCUCCACGGCAAAGGCAGCGAGCGACUGGCUGGCUGCUGGCUUGUACGUGUGGAAGGCAGUUGUUCACGGCAGACCAGUGAGCGGCGGCGGGUGGGCGCGACCACAUGGUGGUUGGAAGGUAGGCUUCGCGGCGUUCAACCUCGGCCACCAUCGUACCACGAUCUCGGCCCACCCGGAAAGUCGGAUGAAGAGGUGGUGGACGACUGAUCCCGGAGAGGAGAACAAGCCUCCGAGCACGUGCUCGUCAACUCCAUGCCGGCCGCUCCAAGCGCCCCUGCUUCGUGUCUUCAAGGCAGGCGCCGAGAUAGCCUUUGCAGCGAGCUGUGGUGUGUGGACUCUGCGGCGAGAUGGGAUUCAGAAUCCUUUUCCGUAAUAGCACAUCCAAGGAAGGAAGGAGAUUGAGGUUGGCACCUCCUGAAGGCAUGCAUGCUCUUCACCGAGAGAGGGAAGGGCAUCUUUUUCUUGGGUUGCAGUUUCCACCUUGUUGUUGGGUGAGCUGAUUCGUUGUUUGUCAGAGCUCUUGUGGAUAAUCAGACAUGGGGUGCAUGGCAAAAUUAGGACAGACUGAAGGCAGCAAAUUCCGCGUUGGCCGUGCACUUUGAGGAGAAGACAUUGUCUUUGUAUAAGUGCCCCCACAGUCAUCUCUUUACAGCAGAGAUAAGGCCUUCAGGUAGAUAUGGCCGCAUAAAUCGCACCGAUGGAUCCAGUCCUUCGCUAGGUCCAACCUACCCUGCACCAGCCUCAAGCACGUUAUUCAGUUAACGCAUAUUCUGUCUUUUGGCAUGUGUAUGCUUGCUCUUGUGCUCAUGUUGUAAUCGUGACUUGUAAUCAGUCCAUGAUCCUUGUGUGACCAGAAGUUGGGCAUAACUGCAUUGUUACUGAGAAGAUGUGAAUAUUAACUUAGGGAUCAGAGCUGAAGCUCUAGCCGAUAGCAAAGAUAUGAAGUCUGUGCUCUGUCUUAUGUUUGCAAGUAUAUUGAUGUAACUUCACAUCUUGAAUGGAGUCACUCCUAUGUGUACUGCCGCUGUAAUUACACAACAUGAAUUUUCCGUUUUUGUGAUCA